ensembl:lncRNA
GGGCUCCCUCUGCGCAUGUGCAGCCUUGGUCCCUUUUCUUCCCGACCGCCUUUGCAGGUCCGGUGAGAAGUUCUUGGAGUUUCUCAGUUACCGGCGGAAGCAGGAAGUCUUGGGCUGCCCUCAGGCCCAGGCGGGACUCCGCAGUGCCCGAGUCUGGCUUGGACCUUAGCUCUGGGAAGGUGGGUGCGGUGUUCCAAAUUCGGCUCAGCUGAAUCGUCACUGUCCUCUACUCUCCCAAGACCCACUGAAAAUGAACAUAUCUGAGAUUGAUGAGAAAUGUGCCUUCACAGACAUCAGUGUCAUUCAAGAUAUGAGUGUGGAGUUUACCUGGAAGGAGUGGCAGCAUGUGAAUCCUGCUCAGAGGACCCUGUACAGAGAUGUGAUGCUGGAGAACUAUAGCCACCUUGUCUCACCGGUGGUCAUGUAUGGAUGUGAGAGUUGGACUGUGAAGAAAGCUGAGCGCCGAAGAAUUGAUGCUUUUGAACUGUGGUGUUGGAGAAGACUCUUGAGAGUCCCUUGGACUGCAAGGAGAUCCAAACAGUCCAUUCUGAAGGAGAUCAGCCCUGGGAUUUCUUUGGAAGGAAAGAUGCUAAAGCUGAAACUCCAGUACUUUGGCCACCUCAUGCAAAGAGUUGACUCAUUGGAAGAGACUCUGAGGCUGGGAGGGAUUGGGGGCAGGAGGAGAAGGGGAUGACAGAGGAUGAGAUGGCUGGAUGGCAUCACUGACUCGAUGGAUGUGAGUCUGGGUGAACUCCGGUGAUGGACAGGGGGCCUGAUGUGCUGCGAUUCAUGGGGUCACAAAGAGUCAGACACAACUGAGUGACUGAUCUGAUCUUAUCAUCCACUUCAAUUUCUGGUUAAGUAAUCUUUGAUUGUAUGGUUAUAUCAUAUUUGUUUACCACUCAAUGAGCUUUGGUUGUUUCCACUUUGACAGUUGUGAAUAAUGCUGCUAUGAGCAGUUGUAGAAACAUUUUUGCGUUCACAGUUUUUCAUUCUACUUUGUAUAUAUUUUGAGUGAAAUCACUGGGAGCUAUAGUAACACUGUUUAAGUGCCAAAACACUAUUCCAAAGCAGUGGCAGGUUUUUAGCAGCCCACUGACAAAGAAUAAGAGUUCCCAUUUUCCCACAUAUACCUUAAUGAUUAUUAUUUUCUGUCUUUUAUUUUUAAAGCCCUCCUAAUGGGUAUGAAUGAGUUUCAUUAUAGUUACCAGUUGUAUCUCCCUGACUUUGAGCAUCUUUUAUAUGCUACUUGCUUAUUGCCUGUUCGUAUAUGUUCCUUGGAAAAAUAUCUGUUCAUAUCAAUUAUCCAGUUAUAGAUUGGGUCAUUUGUCCUUUUUUACUGUUAACUUAUAAGUUUUUUUAGUAAAUUUCUGGAUACACGUUUCUUUAUCAAUUACAUAUUUUCUCCCAUUCUGUGAGUUGUCUUUUCACUCUCUACAUGGAGCUCUUUGAAGCCCAAAAGUUUCUUAUUUUGAUACCAUACAGCCGAACUGUUUUCUGUUUUAUUUGUUUUUGUCAAAUCUAAGAAUCUAAUUCUAACUCAGAAUCAAAAAAUUAAUCAUUUUUUUAAAUGUAAUUUUGGCUGCGCUGGGUUUUUCUUGCUGCGCGUGGGCUUUCUCUAGUUGCAGUGAGCAGAGGCUACUCUAGUUGUAGUGUGCAGGCUUCUCAUUGCGGUGGUUUCUCUUGUUGGAGAAUACCUGCUCAUGGGCAUGCAGGCUUCAGUAGUUUUUAUGUGCAGACUCAGUAAUUGUGGUACUCAGGCUGUGUUGCCCGAGGCAUGUGGAAUAUUCCCAGAUGGGAUAUUGGCAGGAUUGACUGCAUUGGCACGCGGAUUGUUAACCACUGGACCACCACCCGCUCCCCCACCUGCCCAGGAAUUCCCACUGCUAUGGUUUUUUCUUCAUAUUUUACAACUUUUUUUCUUCUAUGUUUAGAUUUAUUACUCAUUUUGGUCUCUAUUUUCAUGUCUAUUCUUACAUCAGUACUACCUUAAUAGUAUAGUAUGGUAGGACUUUCCUGGUAGUACAGUGGAUAAGAAUCCGCCAGGCAAUGUAUGGGACAUGAGUUCUAUUCCUGCAGUGGGAAGAUUCCACUUGCCUCUGAGCAACAGAUCCCUUCCGACACAGCUACCGAGCCCACACUUUAGAGCCUAAGAGCCACAAGUAUUGAAGCCCUUGUACUUGAUCAUGUGCUCUCUGUAACAAGAGAAGCUACUGCAAAGAGAAGCCCAUGUACUGUAACUAGAGAAACCCUGAGCACACAGCAAUGAAACCCAGCACACCAAAAAUAAAUGGUUAAUUAAAACAAUUUGGAAAACUGAA